rfam:Yellow fever virus strain Sudan40b 3' untranslated region, partial sequence.
CAGGGAAAGACCGGAGUGGGUCUUUGCUUUUUCUUCAAGGGUCUGCGAGCACAGUUUGCUUUAUAAGAAGCAGACCUUUGGAUGAAAAACACAAAACCA